rnacentral:lncRNA from 1 species
AGAGAGAGAGUCGAUGUUUGUGUGGAUAAAAAUAAACUAAAAAAAAAAAAAAAAUGGGGUUGGUUUUGUUGAUAAUUCUUCAAUUGUUGGUCGGACAGAUAUGAAGAAGCAACAAUUGCUUUAUAUAAGUGCCAUGACAGAGCUGUUAGAUCUGUAAUUAUUUUAGUACGUCACGUAAACUGAGCAAGGGGUUGAUCCAUCGGCAAUCCCUCCGACCCUCAAGUCAGGUGUAUGGAUAGACAAAGUUGUAGAUAGAAUACAAGCAGUAAUAUAGAACGAAUAUUGAACGUACCUUAAUAAAUGAGUUAGAAUCUUCAUUUAUACCUCGUUGAUUGGGUUGGAGUUGGUUAGUUAAGAUGGUCGGGCUCAAACCUUAUCCGAAGCUAAUUGGACCUUCGUUGUAGUGUCCUUUAAGUUUGGCUCGUGGCCCAAUAAGUUAAGAAAUUGUAUGACUAUUAUCUGUCCCAAAAGUAAUCACAGACAUACAUGGACACACACACCUUCACUUAAAAUCAAACCAAAAUUUCAAUUCAAUUUUCAGUUGUGAGAUCAUCAACAGUUCAGUUGUAAGAAAACUAUAUUUUCUUUAAAAAAAAAAUUAUCACUAAAUUAUUUAAUUUAUGGAUCUUUUAAUGUAACUGAUUGAAAAUAUUUGGAAGAAAAUAUGAUUUUCAGAUAACUUGAUAACUGAAUAGCUGAAUGAUUUUUUUUCGUAAAAUAUUUUAUUUUGAUAAAAAAAAUUAAUUUUAAAUAUGUUGAUGAAAUGUAAUUUUGCACUUUAUAGUUUCAAAAUGAUUGAUGAAUAAAAACAAUAGUUGACAUUUGGCAUUCAAAAACAUAUCACAAAAAUAUUAAAUUGCAUGAUUUAGUUUUAAAAACUCAUUUGGGAUGCACUAUGCAUGAUUUAUUCAUGUGUUUCGAGGGUGAUAAGUGUAAAAAUGGUAUAUUUCAAGGGUGCAAAAUAUGAUUAAGCCUAAAAUAAAUUAAUAAUAUAUAAUAAUAAAUAAAGUAUCUCUUGUAUAUCAAAUACAUAAAUAACUACACUAUAAUUAUGGAAUUAAUUCCUUCUGAGAUUAUUUAAAUUUUCUCUCUUUUAUGCUUUGAAUUAGUUACUCUUUUGAAUGGAUUUUUAUCAUGUUCAAGAUUUACACACAAUUGCUAUCAAACUUGUGCAAAUAUAUAAAGGGGUUUUGUGCACAAGUCUCCGAUCAACCAUCUUUAUUAUUCUAGGUUCAAAUGUUAUAUCUCUUUCGUCAAUAAACACAUCCAUUUAAUAUGUAUUAUAAAUAAGGGCAAAUAGCAAAUAGGCCCAUGACAAAGGCACUUAAUUCAAAAGGAGACAUCCAACUUUUUUGUCUUCAAAUAUUUUCAGCUCAUUCAAAUUUAUUUGCAAAUAAGGAAAACCCUUUUAUAUAUACCAAAACUACCCUCGAUUCAUUGAAACCCAAAUCAACUUCAAUUUCAUGAUUUACACCCCCAAUUUAGUCCAAUUUUACCAAUUAACCAAUAUUGAUCAUAAUUUCAAUUUUGACCCGCACAUCCCCGGAGACCGCCGGUCUCCGACGUUGACUCUUUUUCUUUCUUUUUCCGUUAGGUCAACCGCUGUUGAACGCCGGGUCUCCGGCGUUGACUUUUUUUUUUUUUUUCUUACAAAAAUAUUUUAAUUAAUAUUACUGCGUUGGCUGCUAAAUUACUGUCUCCAGCAGUUAUUUAACUGUUGGAGACAGUAAUUUAAUUGUUAAUUGACCUUUUUUUUUCUUAAACAAAUAUGUUAAUUAAUAAUACUGUCUUAACUGCUAAAUUACUGUCUCCAACAGUAAUUUACUUGUCUGAGACAAUAAUAUUAUUGUAUUAAUUAAUUUUAUCGUCUUGGCCUGCAUUUUUGUUAUGUUCGACUGUACUAUUACUGUCUCCAACCGUAAUAUUAGUGUCUUAUGCAAUAAUAUUAUUGUUUGGGACAAUAAUAUUAAUAAUAUUACUGUUCGGAAAAAUAGUAUGCAUAAUAUUACCGUCCAAACAGUAAUAUUACUGUAUGAGACAGUAAUUUAACAGCCAAGACAGUAAUAUUAACUAAAAUAUUUUUUUAAGGAAAAAAAAAAUUCAAAAAAAAAAAAAGUCAACGCCGGAAUCUGGCCGGGAAAAAAAAUUCACAAAAAAAAAUUCUGAAAAAAAAAAAAAUUCAAAAACUUAUUAAAAUGGGGGUUAAUGUGAUAUAUUUGUUUAAAUUCGGGGUAUUAAGGAAGUUUGAGCAUAAUGGAUUUAAUUGAUAAGAAUUAUAUUAUAUGCAGGGUAUUUUAAACUAAAGACGGGGAUGAGUUUAUUUGAAAUACCAUUUUUUUUUUUAAUUUCAGAAUUUUUUUUUGCCGCUGGUCUCCGGCGUUGAAUUUUUAAUUUUUAUUUUUUUUGUGGUCUGUUUUUUCCACCGCCGGUUCCGGCGUUGACUUGUUUUAGUGGUUUUUUUUUAUGCCCGUCGCUAAACGUUUACCAUAGUUGUGCUGUCAUUAACAGUAAUUAUACUGUCACUAACAGUAAAUUAACGUAAUGAUACUAUCGUUGACAGUACAUUAACGUAAUUGUACUGUCGUUGACGGUACAAUUAGAGUCAACGACAAUAUUAUUACUAUUAUUUUGGUCAUUUUUUUUCAUUUUGUUUGAUUUGUUGACAAGUUAACGUAAUUAUAUUACUGUCGUUGACAGUAAAAUAACUAUAAACACAAUAAUAUUACCGUCAAUCAAAUCAAUAUUAUUAUUAUUUUUUUUUUGGGUUUUUUGUUUUGAGUUAUAGAAGAAGUAACGUAAUAAUAUUACUGUAUAUUAUUGUAAUAUUACUGAUUGUAGACACAAUAAUAUUACUGUGAUUGAUGGUAAUAUUACUGUUUUUACAGUAAUAUUACUGUCAACCAUAGUAAUAUUAAUUCUUUUGGCUUUUUAUUAUGUUUACCUUUGUUGAACGGUUAACUUAUUAAUAUUACUCUAUUACACAAUAAUAAUGAAUUUUGUUGUCUUAAUAUUGUUGUGCUAGAGAUUAAUAUAGCAAUAUUAUUCUGUUAAACUGUAGUAUAGUUAAUUUUACUGUGUUUAACAGUAAUAUUGUUAAUAUUACUGUCAACCACAACAAUAUUGUUGUUUAAAAGGGGGGCAAAAUGAUUUUAAAGAAAAAGAAAUCGAAAAAGUCAACGCCGGAAACCGGCGGCAAAAUCAAGAAGGAAAAAAGAAAUCAAUGCCGGAGACCGGCGGUCAACGGCGGCGACGGACGAAAUUGUCCAUAAAAUUGUGUUUUGGGUCAAAAUCGAAUAAUUUGUGAAAUUUACUGUCAAAUUGGGAUUAUAUUAAAUUAAAUGAUGAAAUUGGAACAUAUUAAAUGUGAGGGGAUAUUUUAGUCUUUUACAAACCUAUGGACCAUGUGUGAAUUUUUUUGUAAUUUUUUUUUAUCUGAACCCCUUAGGAAUAAAUACUCAUUGAUAGCCUUAUUUGUAAAGUGCCCAUAUAUAAAAGGACUAAUGAAAUUGGAUUAGUAUUAAAAUAGUGUAAAAAAGGAAAAGAGAUCAUAUUGAUUAUAUUGUUUUACGUAUAUAUAUUUGGGCUUUAAUUACUAUAUAUACACAAGAUCCGUUCUUAAAUUUAUAAAUAUUCUUUCACAUGCAUGAGGUGAAUAUAAUCCUAAAGUAUUCAAUUCUUUUGCAGAAGAAUUUGUGUAUUUUAUAACAAUUAUAAAUUGUAUAGCAGCACAAACUAUAAAGCCAGUUUAUGACUUUAGAACUUUUACAUAAUAACAGAAGGCCACAAAUGAAGAUUGCAAAGUUGUUUUCAAUUCUAUGGGUUGUUGUUCUCUUGUUAUCAUGUAAACUAUUUCAACUUUAAUCACCCAUAAUACAAUAAUUAUAGGGGUAUUUUUAACCAAGGAUUGGGUAACUGAAAAUCCUAUGAACUUAGGCUAAAUUACAAAAGAAGAAAAAAAAACUCCAGUUAGCCGCGAUUAUUAAAAUUCCCCCGAAGUUUGUUUUCUUCUUACAGCGAACCCCAUAGGGUGCAAUUUUCACAUAAUCUUUAUGAGUCAAUGGAAUAUUGCCUGAAAAAUACCGAUUGUAUCUCUAUAGACGUGAUAUCUCUUUAUGCUACGUUCUUUUCUAAAGACAAAAAUUACCCUUAGAGGGACCUCCUUUACACGGAAUUUUUAUUCUUCUUAAACAACACUGUUGAAUUUGAAUGCCUAUCAAAGUCCACUCAUCUGUUGAGACAGACUACAUGUUACGACAUUAAGUGACGUAACAGAAUUGUUGUGUUGUCACAGUAAUAAAUCUACGAAAAGCAGAAUAAAGAACACAACAAUUUAAUGUGGUUCGGAUACAAACGUACCCUACAUCCACGAGGACUUGCAAAACUAGUUCAGAUUUAAGUGUACAUUAAUAGGACUUAAUAAAACACUAAAGACUCCCUCUUUAUGUGAUACGCCGUUCUUGCACACGACUCGAACUUGUUGAUAAUCAAAGAAAUUCCUCAUCCGCACUCUUGGACUUCCUCCAAUGUUGAACUUCCUUCAAACGGCGGAUCGACCUCUCCCGAGAUCUUUUAAGCACUUCUCCCGAAACGCCGAUCUUCUUUAUGGCCUGGUAGAAGAAACCUGUUCUGUUGCCACACCAGUCGUGCAGACAGGGCUGCAGCACGGGCUGCACCCUUCAAAGCCUUUAUGCUGGGAUUUUUUCUUUUUAAAGCUCCAUCGGACUCAUAUGAGGUUGAGGGCCUUAUAUAGGCACGAAAUCACCACCCUAAACCUAACUUGGGCCCUAAGAAAUCGAUUAACUAGGUAAUAGAAUCCUAGUCGAUUUCUACUUCUAUUCUAGAUAAGUACAAAAGAUACAUAACUAGAAUAUAAUACAUGGAAAUAAAUCUAAGUCCUAAUAACAAUAUUACAAAAAUAGGACUCUAAUUAAUUCCAAAAUAAACAUGGAAAACAAAUCUUUGCCAAUCUUUAAUUUCCACGUAUGGCGGAUUUCUUCAAUCUUCACAAAUAGAAAUCUCGUGCCAACAAUCUCCCCCUUUGGCAUAGAUUGGUUAGAAUCCAUGUUUAACAAAUUUGUAUCUUUAAAAAGUAGUAUAAAGAAAUGUUACGUCUACGGGUAGAAUUGGCAUUCUUCGUGCCAAUAGUCCAUGGGCUCAAAAAGGUUCUGUGGAAAAUUACACCCUAAGUUGAUGUAAGACGGAAACAAAUGUCGGGGAAUUUUGAUAAUUACGGAUAGGUGAAGUAUUUUCGUAAUUUUGCGUAAGUUCGCAGAGAUUUUUAUAAUUUACCCAAUAAUUUAUGAGAAAUAAUAAUAUUAUAACAAAAUCAAUUUUUUUGUUUUGAUUUUAUUGGUUAAGGGCAUAGGCAACUGUAGUGAACAAUGUGAAACGAGGUUUGGUGGGAUUGGUGAAGAAUCAACCACCUUAUCAACUUGUGCGUGCUUCUUUAACUGCCAUUGAUUAUUCAUUGGAAUUUAACCAAUAAAUUUUAUUAUUGGUAGUUUUUUUUUUCUCCCUUUUCUCUUUCUAAAUAAGAUGGAGAUCAUAUAGGAUUAGAGAUAUUGGAACGGAAUUUUCGAAUUUGGAACUGAUACGAACCCCGUAGAACUUGUUACGAGACCCAAUACUUUACGCGGAAGCAAGAUCGAAGACAUCAAAAAACAAAGGAUUCAGAAUGGCAGAAGCAAGGAAUAAUGACCCCAUAGCUUUAAAGAGCUAGAAACCAUUAUUAUCUAGGUGAAUUAUAAUAUUGACCCGUGGUUAUAAAGAACCAGAAACUAAUAUUAUGGCACUAAGAAAAUUACAAGAAUUCACUUGUAAGAUCCCGAAAAUUGUUGUAGAGCGGCGAAGGAGAAUUAAUCUCACCAAAUACUCAAGUAAUCAUUAAAAUUUGUCCAUCAAAAUAAACCAAAUGUGCAACAUAUUUAUAUGAUCUAAAAAGACUCAUUUUUCACAAGGAAAAUGACUCCUACCUAAUCUAAAAUAAGGAAACUUAUAAAUAAGCAAAUCCUAAUUAUAAAAGACUCUAAAAUAAUAAAUCCGAAAUUAAACGUGCAUAAAUAAAUUAGAUGACUUGAUCUUCAAGUUGACUUCCCGAUCACCCUUGUAACCCGCGUAGACAUUGGGGUGUGCACGUGCAUGCUCUUAAAGCUCAAUUUAGACACCGUUUCACUUUGAAUCUCUCUUUGCUUACAACAUGAAAGUUGUAGAACUUCCAACUGGCUUUCCAUAGAAAUUCGAAUCACUUGAAUUGGACGUCAUAUGAGAGAGUUAUAACCCGAAUGGUAAAACUGCCAGAGAUAGGCGAGAAUCUCGGAUGCAUGGAAUUCGACAUGUCCAUCAAACUCUCCUCUUUCUUUUCUUCCAAUUCAUAAACAAGGACUCCUGAAAGGCCUGAUUCAAGACUUUAUUAUUCAAUUCCAACAUGAACGGCUCCAUUAAUCUCACUCGCUUUCUCUUCUUCCAAUUCUUCGUCAUGGAGCUCGUGAGGAUCGUAUCAUACUCCCCCUCUUUAAUAGGAUUCGUCCUCGAAUCCGAACAAAUAUCACAAGGAGUACGUGUAAACAAGAUCGAUCUCUCUGUUCAGUAGCGAACUUACACAUCUCUGCACUGCAUCGGCGAACACACCAUCUAGCAGCCAUUGAAGUGGAUAUGAACGUGAGUAUUUUGUAGCUUGAAGUUCCAAUCCGUCAAAGUUCUGUAUAGAGAAUGAAAGAAGCAUCUCUCAAGAGACCGCCAUCUCAUCAACAUGCACAAUGUUAGUUUGCACUUUGUUUAGCUCGACAUUAACUUCGUUGCAUGGUUGACUCGUAUCAGGAACCGUAUUUUCCGUUCCGAUUUUCAAAGUUCAGAUUUUCGGUUUUUUCGAAUUUAUUUAGAACGGAAUCGGAAUGGAAAAAAUAUUGUUUUCAUCCCUCAAGUUUGCACUAAUUUCAAAUUUUGUCUCCCAUGUUCACAAACUACACAUUUGGUCCCUUAUGUUUCAAAAAUUCAACACUUUUAGUCAUUUCCGUCAAUUUUUUGUUAAAAUAACAUAAUAAGGCGUGUGUCCAUCACUGCCUUAACUAAAGGAGUAACGGUAAAUUGACGACAAUAGAAAAAAGUGUUAAAUUAUUGGAACAUGAGGGACCAAAUUAAUAUGUAUUUUUUUUUUUUUUUUGAACAUGGGGGAUCAAAUGUGAAAUCGGUGAAAACUUGAGGGAUUCAAGCUAUAAUUUUCCCAAAUCGAAAUUGUAUAUAAAUUACUGGAAAUUUCGAUUUUCGAUCGGAAUUUUUCAAUUGUUUGUUCGAGAUAUACAAUAUAAUUUUAUGAUAUAUUUUUUUAAUUCCUUAAUAUAACUUAUGUGAUAUUUUAUAUAAAAAAAUAAAAAAUACCGAAGAGUCAAGUAUAUUAAAACUUUAGAAGAGAUUAUUGGUAUCAUAAACUAUUUGUUGUGUCUUUUCCUUAUCAAAAAAUCUUUAUUUCAAUUUGUUGUUCCCACAUAUGGUUUUAUUUAUUGCGUUUUGUCGAACUCUCUUUCAGAUUCUCUUGCAUUUUCCUGCAAAAUAUCGAAACAAUACUGUGAAAAUUCCUAUUACAUCCAAAUUUGGAACAAGGGAUUAUAAGCUAAUGUAAUUUUCAAAUUUUUUUCCGAAAAAAACCAUGGCCGAUCCUUUGUGAUCGAUUCCCCCCUUACAUAGGAUUAAAGUUGAAGUGUUGAACCAUAGAAGUGUAAAUCUCCAAAUUAAAGUCGAGCUAUAUAUAUAAUUCAAUAAAUAUAUAGCUAUUUGACACGGCACACACAGUUUAUGCUUCCGAGGACCUCUUUGAUUUGUGCAUAUUGCAAAUUACAGUUAAACCUCUAUCAAUUAAUACAAUUGGAACUAGCAAAAUCUUAUUAAUUUAGUGAAAUGUUAAAUUAUCGAACUAAUAAUUUAGUAUGUUUAUACCUAGUCGGGGUCGAAAAAACAUAUUAUUUAGCAAGGUUAUUAAUUUAUCGAGUUUUUACAGUAUGUUACUUUUUGGCCAAUCGACCACAACCUGAUGUUUCCAAACCGAAAAUCUAUAUAGGGUGGUGUUUACAAAAACUUAUUUAAAAGCAGAAGUUAUAUAUUGUGAGUUAAGUUGGUUUUAAGUGUUUAUUUCUAAAAGUUGGGGUGUUUGUAAAUUUACUGAAAAAUAAACUUAAAUAGAAAAAAGCAGGUGUUGAAGAUAUUAAUACUAAAUGAUACAUUUCGCUAACAACUUAAGCUUUUUAGUUGAGAUGGUCAUUCAACAUGGUAUCAGAGCCAGGCCAAAUGAAAGGUCCUGAGUUCGAAUACCACCGUCACCCAAUUCAAAUAUUUCAAGUGCAAGGCUUCAAUUGUAAUUCGCCUGCACUUGAGGGGGCGUGUUAGAUAUAUAUUAAUACUAAAUGAUACAUUUCACUAACAGCUUAAGCUUUUGGUUGAUAUGGUCAUUCAACAGCAGGGUCAUGGAAAAUUUAAAUAGAAAAAGGAGGGUCAUGGAAAAUAAACUUAAAUAAUAAAAAACAGGGUUAUGGGUGCUUAAUAAAUUAUGGCGAAUGGCAAAGAGGCCAAUGACAAUGGACUUAAAUGCACAUAGGUUCAGACAAAAAACAGACUUUCAAAUAAACUCAUACCCAUGUCAUUUGUCGAAAAUAUCCUCCAUAAUAUCAUAUUUAUCAAUUCCAUCCAUUAUAGUUUAACUUCCUCAAUAUUACACACUGACCCGAGAUUUUAACAAAUAUAUCACAUUAACUCCCAUUUUCAUAUUUUUUUGUAAUUAUCGAUACCACAGAGACCUUAAAAUUAUUUUAGCAUACCUCAAGGGUGUGGGUGUAAUUUACCCUUCAAUUCAUCCAUAAUUUUGUCAUAAGUUCCCGUCAAUCCUGAAUCGUCAUGUCCAAAUUCUUAAUUUCACAUAGGGAAACUAAGUUAUAACAGUUUGCACUGGAAAAACAUGUUCGAUCAAGUUGCCCAAAAGGGAUGUAGCAGCAUUAAUAAGCCUUAACGAGUGAUUCAUGUGUUAACGUGGGUCGAAGAUUUGAAAUUGGAAAUUUGCAGAAAAUAAAUUAUAGAUUUAAUGAAUUUGGGGCAAGUUAGAAAUUUAGAUAAGAAGUGGGGUUGAAAUGGGUGCCACGUGCAAAAUACGAAUUUUUUUUUGUCGAAUUUAACCCCAUUGUCAGUGCUAAGAAAGUACACCAACAAGUGUUCAUAUAGACUAUAAUCAAAUAUCAAAUGAAUGUUUAAUGCUCCAUUUUUAUGUCUCUCCAUUGGAGUUGCUGGAAAUUGAGUUAUCAAAAUACUUGCUGGAAAUUGAAUUAUCAAAAUUGUAACCUUCUAAACAUCCAAUCAGAAGUUGACACGUGACAAUUACAAAUAAAACAACCCAUAAACUUUCAAUUGAUAAUUAAUUUGAUAACCAUGGUUGGAGUAGAUGAAUUCAAAAUCAAUAUUAAAAUAAUUCUCAAAUAUCAAAUGAGUAUUUGAUAACUCAAUUUUAAUAUUUAGCAUUGGAGUUGCUCUAAGAUAUUAAAAACAACUUAUAAGAUGUUUAAAAGUUUAUAAGCUCUUUCAAAGUACUUGGUAUUUUUUUAUUUUUUUUAAAUAUUAAUUUUUUUUAAAUAAGCUGUUUGAGAGCAAAUAAGUUUUUCUUUUCUUUUUUUGAAGUACUUCUACCUCACCCUUUUAUUUAAGCUCUUAUAAUGAGUGAAAUAGCUUAUAAGAUCAUUAUCCAAACACUUUAAAAACUAAUCCAAAAAAUAAAAUGUAAUAGCUUAUCAGUUCUUAAAACAUUUUAUCAAAAAUUAGAGUUUAUCAUCUGUUUAAAAUAAGCUUAAUGAAACGGGAUACCAAUUGGCCGGUGAAGAUGAUAUCUAUAUUCUAUAAAACGUGAUAAUCAUUUUACUCAAAAAAAAGAGAAAACAAAAACGAAAAAAAACAAAAAAAAAAUGAAAGAAACAAAAAAACAAAAAAAAAAAAAACAAACGUGAUAAUUGUAUACUUAAACUGGCCGAUGAAGAUGAUAUUUUAUGAAACGUCAUAAUCGUUUUACUCAAAAAAGAAGCAAAAAAAAAAGAAAAAAAUAAAAAAUAAAAAAUAACAAAAAAACGUGAUAAUUGUUUACUUACAAAUGACACGUAAAAAAGACGACUAUCACAGUAAUUGAAUUCCAGAAUCUAUAAAUCACCGUUGACCAAGUUCAACGUAUAUAUCCACAAAAUAUUCAUUAAUUGACUACCAACCAACUUUUGUUUGUUUUUCAAGUUCUUGUUUAAAAAUACAAGUUCAUUAUAUUUCGGUCAAUGAGAGAGGUUCAAGAGGUACCUUCCAUGGAAACUCUAUAUAUUAUGUUUUCUAUAUAAAUAAUUUGAUUAGAUAUACUAAGGAUUUACAUAUUAGGUCAUAUAUUAAUCAUGUCUUAUAAUUAUACUCCAUCUGUCAUAUAUAUAGGGCUGGCAAUCGGGCCAUGUGAGCCGAGUUUGGGUUGGCUCAAGCUCACAUACCAUCGGGCCUCGUUACUAUAGGCUCAAGCUCACAUACCAUCGGGCCUCGUUACUAUAGGCUCAAGCUCACAUACCAUCGGGCCUCAUUGUUAUAGGCUCAAACUCGGCUCAUGUAUUUUUUCGGGUUUCGGGUUUAUACCGGGCCCCAUUACUAUAUAAUUGUAAUGAGUAAAAAAAAAAUUAUAAAAACACGUAAUAAACAAGAUUUACCUUCAUUAAAGCCAAAACUUAAACGAUAUUUGCAAGUUAUUGGAAAAACUUAAAAACAAGACCAAAAGAAGUAAAAAAGAUUAGUUACUUUUGUUAUUGGAAAUGUUUUAUAUUCUCAAAUCUCGGUGAUAAAUUUCAACAAUUAGACAUUGAUGUAUUUUUGCAUUUGAUCCAUAUUUUACUUAUUGUCACCGCCACCGCCACCGCUACCACUUAAACUUCAUUUUAUUUUGCAAAAUAAAAUAAUCUUAUAGGUUCGUAACUUGUAUAGUUGUAUGUUGUCAUAGCAUUACAAUAAUAAAUAUAUUAUAUAUUUUAUUAUUAACCUAGUCGAUCGGGCCUUAUUCGGGUUGAGCCAUAGUAGGCUCAAACUCGGCUCAUUAAUAAGUCGGGUUUAAUAAAAUGGCUCAAACUCGGCCCGGCUCACCAAAAAGUAGGCUCGGCGCAAAUAUAAUCGGGCCGAACCAUCGGGCUUCGGUUAGGCCCGGCUCAAUUGCCGGUCCUUCUCAUAUAUUAUUUAUUUAAAAAAAAAAAAUUGUCCCAAAUUAUUUGUCACUUUACAAAUUCAAUGAAAUAUUAGCGGGGUUAUUUUUAAUUUUACCAUUUAUCACUCUUUAGAGCAACUCCAAUGGGAGCAUCAAAUGGAUUAUCAAACUCAUAAACUACCUUUUUGAUAUCCAAAAAUUAAAAUUUUUUACUCAAUGGGAAUAUAAAAUGGGUAAGUAUUUUGAUAUUCUACAUCUUUGUAUCUAAAAAUACAUCCUGAAAAUUGAGUUAUCAAAAAAUAACCACCUAAAUAUCCAAUCACAAAAUGACACUGGACAAUUACAAAUAAAACUAUUAAAAAACUUCCAAUUGAUUAUUAAUUUUGAUAACCAUAGUUGGAGUAGAUAAACUAUAAAUGAAUAUUAAAGUAUUAUCUUGAUUAUCAAAUGAGUAUUUGAUAAUCCAAUUUUGAUAUUUAGCAUUGGAGUUGCUCUUGAUUAAUUAAGUAAAGAAAUUUGAAUCACGGGGAUAUUUUAGUAAUCUCCUUUAUUUUGUGCUAUAACCAAUGCACAUUAAUGAAUUUUCUUAAUAUGUGCACAAGUCCCGCAAGGGAUGUCCUAGCGGUUGGAGCAAGUGGUUUUAUGUCAAUUGACCACAUGUUCAAUUCCCCUUGCCAACAGUCGUUAGGUCGAGCUCGUCACACAUGGUUAGCCUGAUAUGGUUUAUAUCGCUCCAUUUGUUUGCAAUGUAUUAUACGAGAAUGUAAAUUUAUUCAGUGAACUUAUAUGGUUGGCUGCAGAUUCCUUCAUUAAAAAAAAUAUGAAACGUUAAAUAGAAUUAUAUUUCAUUUCUCUCAAUAGGAAACAUUAAAUAGAAUGGGAAACGGAACAUUAAAUAGAAUGGGAAACGGUAACCUUUAUAUAAAUUAGUUUAAUUGAAAAUUGAUUUUUUUACAUAGAAAAAUCCAAAUAACUGAAAUUAUUGAAAAAUAAAUUCAUAAUAGACACAUAGCUAAUGUCUACUAGAAAUGAGAUACAGACAAGAGGACCACAAAUUUCCUACUUAUGAUGUUGCCAGUAACAAAUUCAUGAGAUAUAUAUAUAUAUAUAUAUAUAUAUAUAUAUAUAUAUAUAUAUAUAUAUAUAUAUAUAUAGCACAUAUUCAACACACGCAUUAAAAAAAUUGGUCUUUAUAAAUAAGUUUAUCAAUGGGUAUUUAUUCAUAAAGAUAUUUAGACAAAAAACUUUUUUACCAAUAAGUCCAUACAUGGUCCAAAUUUUUGUAAAUGACUAAAAUAAUCCCUCAUACUUUAAUAUGCACCAAUUUUAUCCUUAAACUUUAUUUAAUCUCAAUUUGACCCCAAAUUUCACAAAUUAUUCAAUUUUGACCGAAACCUUUUUUUUACUAAAAAAAAAAUUUCCCGCCGGUCUCCGGCGUUGACUUUUAAAAAAAAAUUAAUUUUUUUUUCUUCCGGAUUUUUUCGCCGAUUUCCGGCGUUGACUUUUUCGAUUUUUUUUUUCUUUUCUUCUUUUCUUUCUUUCUAUAACCUUUUUUUUUCGUUUAAACAGAAAUAUUGCUGUGAUUGACAGUAAUAUUAACUAUAUUACUGUUAAACACGGUAAAAUUAAACUAAACUACAGUUUAACACAGUAAUAUUGCUAUAUUAAUCUCUAGCACAGUAAUAUUAACACAACAAAACUCAUUAUUAUUGUGUAAUAGAGUAAUAUUACUAUGUUGACCGUUCAACAAAUGUAAACAUAGUAAAAAACCAAAAGAAUUAAUAUUACUGUGAGUGACAGUAAUAUUACUAUAACAACAGUAAUAUUACUAUAACAACAGUAAUAUUACUGUCAACCAUAGUAAUAUUACAAUAAGAGACAGUAAUAUUAUUACGUUACUCCGUGAAUAACUCAAACAAACAAAAUAUUCAAACAAAAUAAUAAUAUUGAUGUGGUUGACAACAAUAUUACUAUAUCAACACUAAUAUUACCGUCAACCACAGUAAUAUUAUUGUGUUUACAGUAAUAUUACAAUAAUAUACAAUAAUAUUAUUACGUUACUCCGUGAAUAACUCAAACAAAACAAAAAACCCAAAAAAAUAAUAAUAUUGAUGUUGUUGACAGUAAUAUAAUUGUGUUUACAGUUAUUUUACUAUCAACGACAGUAAUAUAACUACGUUGACUUGUCAAUAAAGCAAACAAAAUAAAAUAAAAACCACAAAAAAUAAAACUAAUAAUAUUACAUUAAUUUACUAUCAACGGCAGCACAAUUACAUAAAUGUAUUGUCAACGGCAAUACAAUUACGUUUAUUAAUUGACAUUGGCAGUAUAAUUGCGUUAAUUUACUGUCAGUGACAACACAAUUACGGUCAACGUUUAGCCGCGGACGUAAAAAAAAAAAAAAAAACCAAACAAAAAAAAAUAUAAAAAAAACACUAAAAAAAGUCAACGCCGGAGACCGGCGAAAAAAUUCGGAAGAAAAGAAAAGAAAAAAGAAAAAGAAAAAAAAAAAAAGGCAACGCCGGAUACCGGCGAAAAAAUCCGAAAGAAAAGAAAAAAAAAAUUGAAAAGUCAACGCUGGAAUCCGGUGGCAAAAAAAUAUUUUUUGGAAGAAAUUUUUUUUUUGAAAUUUUUUUUUUGAAAAAAAAAAUUUCGGGUCAAACUUGAAUAAUUUGUGAAAUUUGGGGUCAAAUUGAGAUUAAAUUAAGUUAAUAAUGAAAUUGAAGCAAAUAAAAGUAUGCUAAAAAAAAGUCAAAAUUGAAUUUUUGUGGUCAAAAUUAGAUUUUUGUGGACAAAAUUGAUUAAAUUGGGGUUACAAUUAAGAAUUGGGUAUACAGGGUUAAGGGUAAUAUUGUUAUAUACAUGAAUGUUUCAUUUAUUUAUAAUAAAUAUUAAAAGGAUGGGCUUAUUGGUGAAAGAGAUAUAACCCCUAAACCUAGAAUAAUAAAAAUGCUUGGUUGGGGACUUAUGCACAAAAACCCCUUAAAAAAAUUCUAACCCACAACUUCUAAGCAAACACCGAUGUGAGAGAGGCUCCCGAUAUUAAUAAGCUAAAGCUUAGUUGAUAUUUGAUACAUAUCCGUACCAUAUUUAGUUCGAUAAAAUCUUUAACUUAAACAUACAGUAGAACAUCGAUAAAUUAAUAUUUGACAAAUUAAUACCUUAGUUAAAUAAUAGAUUUUUUUAUCCCGACUCGGUGAAAAUAUAUUAAAUUAUGAAUUUUAUAANNNNNNNNNNNNNNNNNNNNNNNNNNNNNNNNNNNNNNNNNNNNNNNNNNNNNNNNNNNNNNNNNNNNNNNNNNNNNNNNNNNNNNNNNNNNNNNNNNNNAGAAUAUUAGAUAUACAUACAUAUUUUGUAAUAUUUGAUAAUGAAAUUUAAAUUAAUAAAUUUUUAUCUAUAUUAUUUUAUCAAAAAAGAAAAAAAGGAAAAAAAAAAAGGUCGAGGCGUUGCCCGAAACCUCAUAUUGUUAAGGGCACAAAAUAUAUUCACGCCCCGGGCCCCCAAAUACGCCGGACCGGCCCUGGGUGAAAGGAAAAGGUGAAACAAUUAAAGAUCGAGAUACAAACAUAUAAAGAGAAGGCAAAAUAUGUAUAGUCUUUAAAUCAAAAUGGUGGUAGGAGUUUAAAUUUUUCAAUUUUGGGAUUCAAAUUUGAUUGGUUGAAAUGUGCUUGUCCUGACUCUGUGCAAAGUAUCGGAAAUCUGCAAAUUUUAUGAAUUGUAAACUCAAGUAUUAUUUUCUUGUUAUUUAGCUUUUUUGAGUUGUAAGAAUUAAUUGGAAAUCCAUAAUUUUUAUGAAUUGUAAGCUGCAGUUCAAAAUCUGCAAUUUUAAUGAAUUAUUGGCUUUUGUAAUAGUUUUUUUUUUUCCAGCUCUAGUAUAUAUCUUCAAACGAAGGUUACAAAGUCUUCAAUUUUUGACUCAUGCAGAUCUUUAUUGUUGAAAAUGAGUCCCUAGAAGAUUUUUUUUUUUAAAAUAUGUAUAUAUACGUGUAACGGGACAAAUUCGCCCCUCUUGAAAUCCACUAAAUCAGUUGCCUGUGAUUUUUCAAGCCAAAAAGUGGAGGAGGGUGCAAAGUGCCAAAAAAUUUGGAAUUGAAUAGUCUAAAGUGCUAUUUUUCUAAUUCAAGGAUGCAAAGUGCCAAACCUACGUAAUUUCAAGGAUGCAAAGUGCCAAUUACUCCAAACAUAUUUUGUGUUUCUAUAAAGGGCUCAUUUGAGACGCUAAACCAAAAUCAUCUUUAUGAAAAACCUUCCAAGACGUAAAAAUCAUCUUUAUGAAUAACCUUCCAAGACGUAAAAGUAUUGUACUGUCUUUUUAUGCAAUUUUCACCUGAUUGUAUUCAGUAUUUUUACCAUUUGCAUUUAACGUUUUUGGACACGUAUUUUUACCAACUCGGUUCCUGCUGGCCGAAUCCCAGUCUUCAUUACGUCAGCACUCUGAAUUAUUUAUUAUGUGGUUGUACGUUUUGCAUUAUAUCUUGUACCUUGUUUGGUAAUUAUAGUUUGUAUCUGUUCCAAUGUUUCAUAAUAAGAAAAACAAAAAAAUGAAGGGUUGAGAGCUUAGCUCAAGAUAUUACUUCUUUAACCCUAGCUUGAGUGCCGUACAUCUUNNNNNNNNNNNNNNNNNNNNNNNNNNNNNNNNNNNNNNNNNNNNNNNNNNNNNNNNNNNNNNNNNNNNNNNNNNNNNNNNNNNNNNNNNNNNNNNNNNNNUCGCGGCCAAACGCAUGACAUCUCCUCCUCGCCUCGUCCCCGUUGCCCUAGCACCUCGUCCCACGGCCUCCGUCGAACACGCCCCUGCGGUAUUUUUCUCACCGAUUGAAAUAGAUCAAUUAAAUCGUCAAGUCGAUAACACGUUGAUCAUGAAAUUCUCUGCUGGUCGUCCGAGUUUACAAGAUAUCAGAUCCCACAUAAACUCGGAGUGGAACUUCUUGUCGUCCGAGCCUGCAAUUGGGUUUUUGGAUCCCCGACAUAUCACCAUUCAUACGGGCUCUAUCCAAGAUGCAAAGUUAGCACUCUCCCGCAAGUCUAACAACAUCAAGAAUUGUAUGUUCUGUUUGUUUCGUUGGACGCCGGAAUUUACUAUUGGUAAAGACAGUAGCAAAGUAGCGGUUUGGGUUCGUUUACCGAAACUGCCGCUCCCAUAUUUCAAUGUCUCGUCGUUGGAAAGAAUUGGAGCGGCGCUCGGUAAUGUUUUACGAGUGGAUGAAAGAACGCUUGCAUUCACGCACACUCAUUACGCCCGGGUGUGUAUUGAGGUUAAUGUGGCUCAACAUUUGCCGGAGUCGAUUUUUAUCGGCGUAUCGAAGGAUGAUGGGUGGGGGCAGAAGGUAGACUAUGAGGGCAAUCACACAUAUUGCGCUCAUUGUGGAUUAUUGGGGCACUUAGUAGGAGCGUGUCGAAAGAAACAAGGAGUGACAAAACCCCUUGUAGCGAAGACAAACCCGGUGGGACAGCCUCGACAUAUGCUCCGUCGGGGUGCAGCUGAGACCAUUCCCGUUGUAGUAGAAGAUGAUAGAGUCGUUGGUACCGAUGGUAUACAUUUUGAGCCGCAAAAGUUCUCUAACAAACACAUUUUUUCCGUAGGUCAUAGAAUAUAUUUGGAUUCUAUGGAAACCUUUUGUUGAUAUACAAUGCUUAAAUAUUUUCGCCUAAGCAAUCACGGUUACUAUAUCCAGUCCUAGCCAGCCGUUGUUCACUGCUUCCUUCAUUUAUGCAAGUUGUUCGCAUACUGAACGGAAAAAUAUUUGGGCUCACAUUACUGCCAUGCAUGCUGUUAUAUCCACUCCAUGGUUAGUACGUGGAGACUUUAAUGCCAUUUUAGACGUUAUGGAGAAGAAAGGAGGGUUGGUUGAUAUCUCCCGUCUACUUGAUUUUCAGAAUUUGGUGUUGCAAAGUGGUUUAAUGGACGCGGGAUUUAUUGGGAAUCCAUUCACUUGGAGCAAUAAUAGGACGGGACCUGCGAGGAUUUGGAAGCGUCUUGAUCGGAUCCUGGUUAGUCCCUCGUUUCACCUUUCUUUUCCAAAUUUGAAGGUCGUUCAUUUGGAGCGCACUUUGUCCGAUCAUGCGCCUUUAUGUGUGAGUUUUGAGCAGCUCCUGGAUUCGGUUCGAACCAGAUUUAUUUUUCAGCGUAUGUGGGUAGAUCAUAGCUCUUUUCUAGAGAUAGUCAAGAAGGCGUGGACUAUUCCCGUAUUUGGGUCUCCGUCGUAUAUUUUUCAGCAGAAAAUGCAUAAUGUCAGGCGUGUUCUUAAGCGGUGGAAUUGGGAAGUGUUUGGUGACCUACAAAGUAAUAUCAAAGCUUCUCAACAAACAAUUCAAGCGUUUGAAAAUGAGCUUCAACAGGGCUCGAAUGACGAGAUUUCGGGGCAUCUUGUGGAGACUAAGAAACAUCUUAAUCGUCUCGAAGACUGGGAAGCGGAGAUGUUAAGUGCCAAGGCUCGACUUGCAUGGGAGAAGGAUGGGGAUCGCAACACCGCUCUUUACCAUGCGUGCAUCAAAGAACGGUGCAAGCGUUCGACCAUUCAAAUUAAGAGAGAGGAUGGAUCCAUUACGACUGAUCCUAACGAAAUAGGUGCUAUAGNNNNNNNNNNNNNNNNNNNNNNNNNNNNNNNNNNNNNNNNNNNNNNNNNNNNNNNNNNNNNNNNNNNNNNNNNNNNNNNNNNNNNNNNNNNNNNNNNNNNACUUUAUUCUAUGAGGUUACUACUGUGGUGAGUAACUCCUUAAAUGAAAAUUUUUGCAGAGUUCCGGAUCUAGAAGAAAUUCUCAACGCUAUUAAGGGACCGAAGGCGUCUAGUUCUCCCGGCAAUGACGGAUUCACGGGGUAUUUUUAUAUAGCAUGUUGGGAAAUUAUUAAUGAUGAGCUGGCAAAUUUUAUUGUCAAUUUCUUUCGCGGGGGUUAUUAACUGAAGGAAAUGUGUCUAUCCACAAUUGUAUUGUUACCAAAAGUCGAGAAUGCAAGGAGUAUGAGCGAUUUCAGACCCAUUAGUUUGGGUAAUUUCUCGGGAAAGAUUGUUUCUAAAAUUCUAGCGAACCGAUUAGGCAAGAUUCUUCCUUUUAUUAUCUCGGAGGAGCAAGCUGGAUUUGUACAGGGAAGGGAUAUGACUACUCACAUUGUUAUGGCACAAGAGUUGACGUGAGAUAUUGAUCGAAAGUGUUCGGAUGGGAACAUCAUUAUUAAACUGGAUAUGGCGAAGGCUUAUGACCGAUUGGAGUGGAGGUUUCUCUUGAAGGCCAUGCGCUCGUUUGGUUUCUCCCAACAUCUCUUAUUCUUUUAACAUCAACGGACUCCUGACCGGAAACCUCAAAUCUUCUCGCGGGGUUCGGCAAGGCGAUCCCCUCUCUCUUCUUUUAUUUAUCUUGGCACAACAAAUUUUGACCAUCUAUCUUAAUCGGAAAAUGGUGACGAAACAAAUUAUUCCAUUCAAGGUUGGUCGAAAUGAAGUGGUGGUUUCUCAUCUUUUGUAUGCGGAUGACAUACUUAUUUUCUUGAAUGGAGGGCAACAAUCUAUGCAAGCUCUUAUGGAGGUUUUAAAAUCUUAAGAACGCUCUUCAGGGCAAUUGGUGAAUGCGUCUAAAAGCCACAUGUAUGUGAUUAAUCGGUGAUAAAUCGGAAAUAAAUCGGUUUUUAAAAUUUAAUAUAAUAUAUUUGUAGAUAUUAUUUAUAAAUACUCAAAACAUAGAUAAAAAAUAUUUAACAUAGUUAUAUCUCCAUCAUGUAUAUAUUCUAAUAACAUACUAAAAGUUUAAUAAUAAUAAGAUCAUAAUACAUAAAUAUCCUUAUAAAAUAUAAAUAAAAAGGCAAUUUUUUUUUGAAUUUACAUACAUUCUUGGCAUACAUCAUUAGUUCUUUAACAAUAAUAAUUAACAUAAACAAAAUAAUACAUAAACUCAUUUUUUUUUAUUAAAAUCCCAACUUUUAUUUUGAUUUAUAAAAAAAAAAAAAAAAAAAAACCGAUUUUUGACCAUUUUUUGCCGAUUUUUGCCACCGAAGUUUGACCCGCCUUAAAGGUUUGACCGCCUCGGACCGCCUCGGACCGCCUCAGACCGCCUCAGACCGCCUCGGACCGCCUCAAACCGCCCCACAGGCAAAAAACCGAUUUUUCAAACCUUUACACUAAAAUCGUAAAGGUUUUGGACCGCCUCCGCCUCGGCGACCGAUUAAUCGGCCGCCUCGGCCGAUUUUUAGAACACUGAUAAAUACCAUCAAUUUCUCACACCAAAAAACCACACACUACACAAAUAUAACUACAAAUCCUCCAUAAUUCUACAAAUUAAAUACACUUCAAUUUCAUCCACAAAAAAAUGGCGGCUCUAACAUUCAAAGUAACGAGGCAAAACCCGGAGCUAAUCCCUCCGGCUAAGCCGACGCCACACGAAUUCAAAUCACUCUCCGACAUAGACGAUCAAGAGGGACUCCGUUUCCAAAUUCCGGUCAUACAAUUCUACCGGAAUAUUCCCUCCGUCCAAGCGGACCCCGUCAAGGUCAUCCGUGCCGCCAUAUCCGAGGCCUUGGUUUUCUACUACCCGUUCGCCGGUCGGCUGAGGGAAGUUGCCGACCGGAAGCUGGUGGUGGAGUGCACCGGCGAGGGGGUUAUGUUCAUCGAGGCGGAUGCUGACGUGGCGCUGCAGCAGUUCGGCGAUGACCUUCAGCCGCCGUUCCCCUGCCUUGAGGAGCUGCUUUAUGAUGUACCUGGUUCUUCUGGAAUUGUUAACUCCCCUCUAUUGCUUAUUCAGGUACAAAUUUUGAAAUUUUUUUGAAUCCCCCCAAUUUUUCCUAUAAUUAAAUAUUUCAAACUUGUGCUUCUAAAUUAACUUUUCAUUUAUUUCCUUUUCCUUUUAUCUAUUUAAAAGUACUUCUUUUAAUUUACUUAUUCAUCAAAUAUUUCAACAAAAAUAAAAACAAAAAAAAAACAAAAAAAAAAAAAAUUCAAAAUUUUCGGGCCGACCCGGAACCGGCCCGAACCGGCGGAUUAUUGAAUUAAUUAAAAAAUUAUAAGGUAAGAUUAUUUUUUAGGAAUAUAUUGAUACAAUUGUUAUACUUAUGCUAAUAUUAAAAUUAUAUAAGCACUAUAUUAAUAUAAUAACUAGAUUAAAAAAUUAAAAUAAGAUAUCCAAUGAUCAAAAUUCAAACCGUUUUCUAUGUUUCAACAAUUAAGAGCAAGUCGUCUGUAGGUCACGCGCUUGAGAUGCGGCGGGUUCAUCCUCGCCCUCCGCCUCAACCACACAAUGAGCGACGCCUUCGGCCUCGUCCAGUUCAUGACCGCCGUCGGCGAAAUCGCCCGCGGCGCCAAAUCCCCGUCGAUCCCACCGGUGUGGGAGAGGCACCUCCUGAACGCACGCGCCCCGCCGCGCGUGACCUGCACGCACCGUGAGUACGACGAGGUGCCCGACACCAAAGGAACCAUCAUCCCACUCGACGACAUGGUCCACCGCUCCUUCUUCUUCGGCGCCGCGGAGAUCUCCGCCCUCCGCGGCCGUCUCCCGCCGCACCUCCGCCGCUGCUCCACAUUCGAACUCCUCACCGCCUGCCUCUGGCGGUGCCGCACGAUCGCCAUCUCCCCGGAGCCGAACGAAGAGGUCCGGAUGCUCUGCAUCGUCAACUACCGGAGCCGGAUCAACCCGCCGCUGCCGAAGGGCUACUACGGCAACGCCUUCGCAUUCCCCGCCGCCGUCGCCGCCGCCGGAGAUCUCUCCAGCAACCCGUUCGAGUACGCGCUGGAGCUCAUAAGGAAGACGAAGUCCGACGUGACGGAGGAGUACAUGAGGUCGCUGGCGGAUCUGUUGGUGAUCAGGGGGCGGCCACACUUCACGGUGGUUCGGAGUUACGUGGUUUCCGACCUGACCCGAGCCGGCAUCGGAGAUUUGGACUUUGGGUGGGGGAAGGCGGUGUCCGGAGGUCCGGCGAAGUGCGACGUAGGAGCUAUACCUGGGGUUGCACUUGCGAGUUUCUACAUACCGUUUAAAAAUAAGAAGGGGGAGAACGGAAUAGUGGUUCCGGUAUGCUUGCCGGCGGACGCCAUGGAAGUGUUCGUGAAGGAGCUUGAGAUGAUGGUGAGUAGAGAAGAUGACGACAACUCGGGCCGAAUCCCAGUCUUCGUUGCUUCAGCACUGUGAAUUAUUUAUAAUGUGGUUGUACGUUUUGCAUUAUAUUUUCUACCUUGUUUCGUGAUUAUAGUUUGUUUAUACUCCUCUGUUCCAACGUUUCAUAAUAAAUGUUUCAUAAUAAAUGUCGUUUUUUAAAACUAUUUUGUUCAAAAUUUGUCUAUCACUUUAGAUUAUUAAUACUGUAUUAACUUUUUUUUUUUUUAACUUUAGAAUUCAAUUUUAAGUAUUAACUAUAUUAUCAUAUUAUUAAAUCAUUAAUGUUAUUUUACUAUUUUUAAUGUGUUUUUUCCUAAAUACAAGAACAUUUAUUGAAAUUUUUAAAACUGUUAGAAUUUAUUUCGUGCAGAUAUAAAUUAUUUGUGUCAGAUUCAGUUUUUCGUUACUGUUGCGUGAAGUGUUGCAACAGUUCGUGAAACAGUUCGUAAAAACAGAAAUAAACGAGACACAAAUUUUAAUGUGGUUCGGAUACAAUUGUACCCUACAUCCACGGGGACCUGCAAAUAAAAUUUACUAAUUUUUAGUUUUACGAAUACAAUAAUAGGACUUAAUCAAAAUACAAAGACUCCCUCUUUGUUGACGCCGUUCUUGUAUACUACGCUGAAUUAUAAAUCUUCAAUUUGCAGCACGUCCCUUGCUCCGCACGGUUGAACUCCCUUCAACGCUGAAUCCCUCAGUCGGCGGAUCGAUCUCCUCCCGAGAUCAGUUUAAGCCCCUCUCCCGAAGAACCGAUCUUCUUUUUGUAUAGAAGAAGCAAACUUGUGAUACUCCUUGAAUCUUGGUGUCUUCACCACAAAGCCUUGAAGCCGAUAUAUUUUCUAUGAAAAUCACGUAUCACGAUGGAACAAUAAAAAACGAGAGGAAAAAUAUUUUCUGUGAAAAACUUCUCUCGAUCAAAGACGUUCCGGGAGCAGCAAAAAUAAGAGCAGAAAAAAUAUAAUUUUUCUUCUCCAACAAAAGGUACAGACAUAAAAAAACGUUGAUACUCCUGUAUUUAUAUUCCUGAAUAGAAGAGCCCUACAAAAUUGGAGCCCAUUAGGUUAGUGAGAAUCUUACGUGAGGAAACAAAAUUGUGUAGUAAGGAAAGUCUUUGUCCAAGAAAUUCCUUGCUAACAUAUGACUUAUAUAAUUAAAUAAAUUAAUGACAAAAUAAGAGUUUAAAGCAUUAAAGAAACUUCCCUAGCUUUACAUACGCGUUUUUCACACGUGUUGAAAAACCAAAAUUAGAAUCCUCUCGGAUUCUAACAAUCUCCCCCUUUGUCAUCUAUUUAUUAUAAUCAAGUCCUCCCCCUUCGUCAAAUACCUGUAAAUAAAACAAUUAGAUGAUAGACGUAAGCAAUAAAACUAAGGAUCAUCCUCAGCAUUAAAGGAACCGCUAAUCAUCAUCAUCUCUUUCAGCAACAAGAGUGACAUCAACUGCUGCAAUAGUAAGUGCCACAGUUUCAGCAACUGUUCCAGCAGUAGUGGCUUCGGCAGGUGGUUCACAACGGAGUCAGCUCCGCCUGCAUGUGUUUCUCCCCCUGUGGGUGGUACUUGAGCAGCUCCUCUUUUAAAUGACUUCAUUCUUUCCCUUUGCUUACUUGGCUUGGUAGAUUUGGAGAGCGGUGGAGGUAAAUCAUCCACGUGAUAAGAGACUCAGCAAAUAACGUCAGCAUUAGCUCCUCUUUUUAUAUUCUUGUGAAAACCUAAACCAAUUAAUGACAAUAAACACAAUAUUAGAAAAAGUGAAAUUCCUUCUAUUUUGGAUACACACGUUCAGGUGUUAAUAUGGAGAGAUAAAUUAUUUCUUCUCAAAUUAUCUAAUGAGAUAAAUAAGGAAAAUAUGUCCCUCGUAUAAAUACACAUCUCCAUAGAAUUCCACUUCGUGUUGUGGACUUAGAAUCCCACCGAGAUUCUAACACUCUCCCCUUUUGGCAUUGAUUGGUCAGAAUAUUUACUCCCCCUAAAUAUAUGAUACCUGCAUGAACACGGGUUAGCAAAUUCAGAAUAACAUCUGCACAUAUAAACUGUUGCAAAAGUUUAUCAAACAGUUCAGCCGAUACUGUAGACUGUAAAUAAACCACAGUUUCAAGACGUAAAAGUAUUGUACGGAGGUCCGGCGAAGGGCGGCGUAGGAGCCAUACCUGGGGUUGCGAGUUUCUACAUACCGUUUAAAAAUAAGAAGGGGGAGAACGGAAUAGUGGUUCCGGUAUGCUUGCCGGCGGACGCCAUGGAAGUGUUCGUGAAGGAGCUUGAGAUGAUGGUGAGUAGAGAAGAUGACGACAACUCGGGCCGAAUCCCAGUCUUCAUUACGUCAGCACUCUGAAUUAUUUAUUAUGUGGUUGUACGUUUUGCAUUAUAUUUUCUACCUUGUUUCGUGAUUAUAGUUUGUUUAUACUCCUCUGUUCCAACGUUUCAUAAUAAAUGUUUCAUAAUAAAUGUCGUUUUUUAAAACUAUUUUGUUCAAAAUUUGUCUGUCACUUUAGAUUAUUAAUACUGUAUUAACUUUUUUUUUUUUUAACUUUAGUAAUUCAAUUUUAAGUAUUAACUAUAUUAUCAUAUUAUUAAAUCAUUAAUGUUAUUUUAGUAUUUUUAAUGUGUUUUUUCCUAAAUACAAGAACAUUUAUUGAAAUUUUUAAAACUUAUGUAAAGUUGAAAAGGACGGUUAAUUCGGAACGGAAGGAAUAGUUUAUAGCCUAUGAAUUUCAUAAAACACAUGGAAAGAAAGAGGAUUUAAUAUGCAUCCUUUUCAUAUGUACUUGUGAAUUUGUACGAUGGUAAGUGGUAACAAAUUUUCGGCUAUUUCCCGUUUUUAAUGUGAUAAACGCGUCGAAGUUCAUUUAUUCUUAGUAAUACUUGGAAAUUGGGUAAUUGACACUUUGCAUUCUUGAAUUACAUAGGCAUAGCAUUUUGCGCCCUUAAAUUAGGAAAAAUAGUACUUUGCAUCCUUCAAUUACGAAUUCCUUGAUACUUAAAUUAGGAAAAAUAGUACUUUGCAUCCUUCAAUUACGAAUUCCUUGAUACUUUGCACCCCUUGCACUUUUUGGCUGGAAAUGUGAUGGUGACUUGUUUAGAGGGAUUUGAAAAAUGGCAGAUUUGUCUUUCUCCAAUUGCUCAGGAAAUUAAAAAGUUCACUACUCAUUUCUUCACUUUUUUUCCAUUCGUUCCCUUCUCAUUUCUUCAAAAUCCUUGAAUUUUUUUUGCUCAUGUUUUCAUUUUCUUUUUCAAAUCUUCUCCAUGGCUAGAACAAAUUCAGUUUCUCACUCGCUUGCUAAAAAACUUGAAGAAGACAAAGUGACUAAAGGUGGAGCGCAAAAGGUGAAAGCAGGGCCGGCCCUGGGUGGGGCGAGCAGGGCCCACGCCCAGGGCCCAGUUUUAUUAGGGGCCCAUUUUUAGUGUUAUAUAUAUAUAUAUAUAUAUAUAUAUAUAUAUAUAUAUAUAUAUAUAUAUAUAUAUAUAUAUAUAUAUAUUAACAUUUUUUGUGUCAAAAAAAUAUUUUUCUACUGUAUAACAAAAAGUUUAUUCUUCUAUUGUAAAAAAAAAAAUUCUAUUUAUAAAUUUUAAAGCUAUAGAAUUUAAAAAUCUUCAUUUUUUUCAAACAAAAAUUAUUUCAUACAUUUCUAACAUUUGCUUUUAAAAAGAAAUAUUUAGAUAUACAUAAAUAUUUUUUAAUAUUUGAUAAUGAAAUUUAAAUUAAUAAAUUUUUAUCUAUAUUAUUUUAUCAAAAAAGAAAAAAAGGAAAAAAAAAAAGGUCGAGGCGUUGCCCGAAACCUCAUAUUGUUAAGGGCACAAAAUAUAUUCACGCCCCGGGCCCCCAAAUACGCCGGACCGGCCCUGGGUGAAAGGAAAAGGUGAAACAAUUAAAGAUCGAGAUACAAACAUAUAAAGAGAAGGCAAAAUAUGUAUAGUCUUUAAAUCAAAAUGGUGGUAGGAGUUUAAAUUUUUCAAUUUUGGGAUUCAAAUUUGAUUGGUUGAAAUGUGCUUGUCCUGACUCUGUGCAAAGUAUCGGAAAUCUGCAAAUUUUAUGAAUUGUAAACUCAUGUAUUAUUUUCUUGUUAUUUAGCUUUUUUGAGUUGUAAGAAUUAAUUGGAAAUCCAUAAUUUUUAUGAAUUGUAAGCUGCAGUUCAAAAUCUGCAAUUUUAAUGAAUUAUUGGCUUUUGUAAUAGUUUUUUUUUUUCCAGCUCUAGUAUAUAUCUUCAAACGAAGGUUACAAAGUCUUCAAUUUUUGACUCAUGCAGAUCUUUAUUGUUGAAAAUGAGUCCCUAGAAGAUUUUUUUUUUUAAAAUAUGUAUUAUAUACGUGUAACGGGACAAAUUCGCCCCUCUUGAAAUCCACUAAAUCAGUUGCCUGUGAUUUUUCAAGCCAAAAAGUGGAGGAGGGUGCAAAGUGCCAAAAAAUUUGGAAUUGAAUAGUCUAAAGUGCUAUUUUUCUAAUUCAAGGAUGCAAAGUGCCAAACCUACGUAAUUUCAAGGAUGCAAAGUGCCAAUUACUCCAAACAUAUUUUGUGUUUCUAUAAAGGGCUCAUUUGAGACGCUAAACCAAAAUCAUCUUUAUGAAAAACCUUCCAAGACGUAAAAAUCAUCUUUAUGAAUAACCUUCCAAGACGUAAAAGUAUUGUACUGUCUUUUUAUGCAAUUUUCACCUGAUUGUAUUCAGUAUUUUUACCAUUUGCAUUUAACGUUUUUGGACACGUAUUUUUACCAACUCGGUUCCUGCUGGCCGAAUCCCAGUCUUCAUUACGUCAGCACUCUGAAUUAUUUAUUAUGUGGUUGUACGUUUUGCAUUAUAUCUUGUACCUUGUUUGGUAAUUAUAGUUUGU